rnacentral:rRNA from 1 species
UUAGGAAUAUUGGGCAAUGGAGGAAACUCUGACCCAGCAACGCCGCGUGAAGGAAGAAGGUUUUCGGACUGUAAACUUCUGAUCUAAGGGAAAAAGAAAGUGAUGGUACCUUAGGAGAAAGCCACGGCUAACUACGUGCCAGCAGCCGCGGUAAUACGUAGGUGGCGAGCGUUGUCCGGAAUUACUGGGCGUAAAGGGAGCGUAGGUGGUGAUUUAAGUCAAAUGUGAAAGCCCGAGGCUCAACUUCGGAACUGCAUUUGAUACUGGAUUACUAGAGUACAGGAGGGGUAAGCGGAAUUUCUAGUGUAGCGGUGGAAUGCUUAGAUAUUAGGAAGAACACCAGAGGCGAAGGCGGCUUACUGGACUGCAACUGACACUGAGGCUCGAAAGCGUGGGGAGCAAACAGG